AUGCGGUCAUAUCACGCUAUAAUGUCGGUUCACGUACAAUCACCGAAGUUAAGCAAUCUCGAGCCUGGUGAAUACUUUGAUGGGUGACCGCUUGCGAAUACCAAGUGUUGGA